UCUAGACUUUGAUGAUUUGCAAAUACCAUUUGCCUACAUCGUUUUAGUUGAUGUGAUAGCAUCUGCAGAACCUGAGUCUUUC
rfam:Zea mays cultivar B73 chromosome 2, whole genome shotgun sequence.